rnacentral:lncRNA from 1 species
GCCAACCCUGCAGAAGAACAGCAGAUGAAUAAACGAGAGAAAGGGGAGAUGGUGGUGUGUUCUUCUUCCUUCUUCUUCCUACUCUUGGCGUCAUCUGUACUCCUCUCCUCCUCCACCACCUCCUCUUCCUCCCAUGCGGCCUGUAGUAUCCUCAAGCUACCCAACCUCGCCACCCUCUCUUUCGAGGAAGGCUACACGCAGCUCUUCGGCGACUCCAAU